UGGGGAAUAUUGCACAAUGGGCGCAAGCCUGAUGCAGCCAUGCCGCGUGUGUGAAGAAGGCCUUCGGGUUGUAAAGCACUUUCAGCGGGGAGGAAGGCGAUAAGGUUAAUAACCUUGUCGAUUGACGUUACCCGCAGAAGAAGCACCGGCUAACUCCGUGCCAGCAGCCGCGGUAAUACGGAGGGUGCAAGCGUUAAUCGGAAUUACUGGGCGUAAAGCGCACGCAGGCGGUCUGUCAAGUCGGAUGUGAAAUCCCCGGGCUUAACCUGGGAACUGCAUUCGAAACUGGCAGGCUAGAGUCUUGUAGAGGGGGGUAGAAUUCCAGGUGUAGAGGUGAAAUGCGUAGAGAUCUGGAGGAAUACCGGUGGCGAAGGCGGCCCCCUGGACAAAGACUGACGCUCAGGUGCGAAAGCGUGGGGAGCAAACAGG
rnacentral:rRNA from 1 species